UUCUUUAUCACUUGCCCAAUUGCUAAUCUACUAUGAGACAAAAUCAUAGAAAAGUAGCUAUUUGGCUGAC
rnacentral:tRNA from 1 species